rnacentral:lncRNA from 13 species
ACAUGAGGAAAUGAAAAGUGUAUAGUGACUUGUCUGAUUCUAUUAGCUGGUGAAAUGUUAGAGGAGGUAGUUAGGCAGACAUGAGCACAGCAGAGGAGGGGGCCCCCACCUUCCCCUCAGGAAUGUCAGGUGAUGCUCAGGCAGUUGUUAAACUGUCGCGCUAAAAUAAUAAUUGAUUGCAGCUGAUGCCAAGGAACAGCAGCGUCUCAAUAGAUAGAAAACACCUGAAGAUGGUGAUCAGCAGCUUCCCAUUGACAUCUCAAGAGUUGGUUGAGUGGGUUCAAACAUGCACAAUAAGAGGCAAAAGGCAGUGUUUAAGUGGUAUAUGGUAUAUGACCUUCCUUUAGGAACACUCGACUGGUAAUAAGGGAAAAAUGUCUCAAAUGAGCAUGUGCACAACUUCAGAGAACACAUUGAGCAUACUCACCUCCCAAGUGCUGGCUGGCCACUGUGCACACGGACAGCCUGUCUGAAGGAAAAAUCAAGAAAGAGAAGAUGCGAAAGCCAGGAACCAUGUCAACGUAUAAAAGCUCAAGUCAAAGGUCAAACUGGGCACUUGGAUCUCUCAAGUUGCCUGUUUGGCCCUCUUCCAGGCUUGGAAUGAAAGGAUCAUUGCUUAUAUUAUCACAACAAAAAUCUAAAGCGGCAUGGCACUCCAUGCUGAAGGGUGAAUAGCGACUAUCUUGUGUGCAAAUGUGAAAACCUCCAUUUACUUCAAUUAUGAAGCCACACCUUGAGGUUACACUGUCAUUACAGUUAUGAAGAAACCAAAGAAGGGAAGUUGUAUUGGGGGCCUGCUGAACAAGAUUAAGUCUUGGUAGAAAUAUUUGGGACAUACCGAUCUGGAUGACAUUUAGUGCGAGUAUUCAGAGGUUUUGAAUGAGUAACAAGGGAUUGAAGGAUUCCAGGGCCCUGCCUCCUCCACCCUCCACAUUUUCCAGCCCUAAGUGUUUUAUCCUUGGAGGCUCAUGCUCUGGGACCAAGUACCAUGGUGAUGAGUAUGUGCCCAGUCGGACAGUGUUGCUACAGAGAGUGAAAUGAGACACAGUAAUUAUCCUCAGGAGAAUAAAAACAUGCCUUUAACAUCGUGUUUGUCUUUU